rnacentral:rRNA from 1 species
AACGAACGCUGGCGGCAGGCUUAACACAUGCAAGUCGAACGCCCCGCAAGGGGAGUGGCAGACGGGUGAGUAACGCGUGGGAAUCUACCCAGUUCUACGGAACAACUGAGGGAAACUUCAGCUAAUACCGUAUACGCCCAACGGGGGAAAGAUUUAUCGGAAUUGGAUGAGCCCGCGUUGGAUUAGCUAGUUGGUGAGGUAACGGAUCACCAAGGCGACGAUCCAUAGCUGGUCUGAGAGGAUUAUCAGCCACACUGGGACUGAGACACUGCCCAGACUCCUACGGGAGGCAGCAGUGGCGAAUAUUGGACAAGGGGCGCAAGCCUGGUCCAGCCAUGCCGCGUGAGUCAUGAAGGCCUUAGGGUUGUAAAGCUCUUUCAGUGGGGACGAUAAUGACGGUGCCCACAGAAGAAGCCCCGGCUAACUUCGUGCCAGCCGCCGCCGUAAAAC